AGCUCUAUAAAUCAGCUCGAGCUCGUUCGUUUGGGUAGCGAGUUGAGCUUGAACGAGCUCAAAUCGAGCCGAGUUUUGAGCCGCUCGCGGUUCAUUUGCAGCCCUAGUGGCAAUGAAUCUUUUCAAAGGAUAAUUUAGGACUCGCCUCGUGGGUGUAGCAAGGCUAAGCAUCCAAAAAACGCCUCUAGGCUUUUUGGAUUAUGCUUUACUGUCUGGGGAUGUGCGCCUUGUAUGCAUAUUUUAAGCCUUUCAUAUGAGGCGGACGUUUCUUUGGAGUAACAUGGCUUAUAUAUUUUCAUACUCUCUCGCUCUCUCCUAACCGGUAGAUAUUAAUGAAAGUGGGAGAGUACAUAUGUGAGGGUCUAUGUUACACGGACACAGGUAUGUGAAUCGGAUACGGGUGUAUAUCUAAGGGUCAGGUACCUCAUGAAAGUAGAGGAUUCGUGGAUACGUGUAAAUUUGGACACGGAUAUGGGGAUACCCCACCUAGUUUCCUAAAUAGUUUUAUUAUGUAUAUGUAAUUAUAUACUUAAAAGAAACUCUUGAUUUUUAUAGUCCAAAAAAAAUUGAGUUCGGUCACAAGUUUGCUAAGACAAAGAAUAUGGACUAAGAAAUUGGGACACAUGACAUACCUUGUAAUUGGUAAGUACCUUCAAGUUAUAAGGAGUCUUCGAGUCUGAUGAGCAUUGAGAUUUGUAGUCUGUUACGGAUAAGAAAGUGCUUAGAAAUAUUGAGUUUGUUACAAAGUUCAAUUUAGUAAUGAAGACGUAGAUUAACAUGAUUCAUUAGUUUCUUGUCUACAUUAUCAUGGUACUUUUCUUCACCCAUCUUUAAAGACAUUUGAUAUGCUGUAGUUUUUCAGAAUUUUAUAUCCUUUCUAUUUCACCAUAGGUUUACAAUAACAUAGCAAAAGGCACAGCCUCACGUAGUUUAGAUACAUAAAGCUACAAACUAGUUUGGUUAUCAAACCAUCCAAAAUAACAAGAUACAACCUUGCAUCCAGCAUUUGUGCGGGAUUAUAUUACAAGCAAAAUAAGUCAUUCCAAGCUGGAUAUUAACAAAAGACUAGUGCUUUUUAGUUCUAAUCCAAUAGACUUGUAGUCUACUCGCAAAAAGAAAUCAUGGCUGACACCUUCUUCUACUCACUUUGUUCUUGUUCUUGUUGGAUUAUGUGAUUAUUUUGGACAUAAUAAUACGGUUCCUCUUCGGUCCGCUUGUUUCCUGUAGGAUUAGUCGCAAAGAUUAUUAACAGUUGCAAUGGGUUGUUGAAAAUGUAACAUAUAGGAAGUGAUGCAAUGCUUGGCUAAAUAGUUGUCAUUUGGGAAGUGAUGCAAUGCUUGAUUAAAUAGGUGUCACUUAGAAGCAACACACCUGUUGGGCAAAAUGUAUAAUGCUUCAUGAAGAGGUUUGUGGCCAAGUAAAAAUAAGCGGUGUUGCAAUAGAAGACACACACAUUUACUUGCUGCCAAAACAGAGCCCACUUCCUUAUUUUCCAUUUAUGCCUUAGAUCAACACAUUGAGUAUUUGUUUGUCUUCUUUGCUACUACAUCCUACGUGAUUCCUAGCCUUACGGCGGUUCAGAUCGAUCUCGAUUCUUAAUUGGGACCAACAGUGGUAUCAGAGCCAGGUUUUUAGAAAGAAGACAAGUGUGCGUAUUCAGUUUGUUGGGAUAUUUUUUCAGUCCACAUUCAUUCGGUCAGUACUUCUACUUUUGUUUUUCAAUUGUUCCAAUGGCUUCAAAAAUUGUUUCAAUUGAUGCUCUAAGAUGGAAAAACUGAAUGGGCUUAACUACCCCAUUUGGAAAAGACGUAUGUCUUAUUUGUUGAUACAAGACAAAACAUUCUACGUGACUUCUGCCGAAAAGCCUUCUGGAACUAAUGAUGCCUCCAAGAGAACUGCAGCAAGAUGGGAGGAGGAUAAUAAACUUGCUAAAGGUGCUCUUUUGAGUCACAUGCAAGAUGAUUUGAUUCCUUUGUUUGAGGACAUCAAGACGGCCAAAGAAAUUUUAAGUGCUUUAGAGCAAAAAUAUGGAGGGAAAUAUGACACCUAUGUGCAACUUUUGCUUGAUAAGUUCAAUGACUUAACCGUGUCAGAGGAUUCAAGUGUGGUGGACCGUGUGAAUAAUAUGGCUCUCAUUGCUAAAGAUUUGUCGGUGACUGGAAAUACCAUCUCUGACAAAAUGUAAUUGUCUACCAUACUUAAUAGUCUCCCUCCGAGUUGGGACUCUGUUGUCAUUGCAAUUAAUUGCUCGGGUCAAGUUCUGACUGUGGAUACAUUACCAGCAAUUUUAGCACUUGAGGAGGAGAGAAAGAAGCGUCGCAAGCGCUCAAACCUCAUGGUUGCAGUCUACUUGCAGAAGAUAGUGGGAGACCCACCAAAAAGGCAAAAGGGCUGUACGAUGUCAAAGGAAAGCAAUUCAAGCAUGGGAAUCAGUUCAAGAAUAAGAAGCAUUUCAAGCAUGGAAAGAAAAAGGGCAAAAAGAGAGCAUGCUUCAGUUGUAGCGAAAUUGGGCAUUAUAAGGCUGCAUGUCCGAAGCGGCAAAAGAGCAAUGACAGCUCAGAUGAUGGUCCAAAGGAUGACUCCAAGGAAAAGGUUCUCACUGUAUCGGAUGCCAUGAUCAUUGAACCAACUAAUUGUGAUUGGUGGAUUGACUCCAGGGCAACAAGGCACGUGUGCAAAUCUCGUGACGCUUUUGUUAAGAUGUCUGCAAUGUCCAUAGGAGAGCAUAGAUUGUUCAUGGGAAAUAGCACCUACUGUGAUGUCCUUGGUGUUGGUGAUUGUAGAGUUGUGUGUAAUGGUGCUAGUUUUAUUCUUCCUAAUGUUUUGUAUGCACCUACUAUCAGAAGGAAGGAACCUCAUCUCAGUGUUUGUGCUUGAUGAGAAGGGUUAUGAAAUUAGGUUUGCCUUCAGCCAUGUAACUAUUAGGAAGGAUGGCCAAUGUUAUUGUGAGGGGGAAGAAGGUGGAUGGCAUGUAUCAAGUUAUGCUUAAUAAUAACACAUCUGUUUCUUUUUACUUGUUUGUGUCUACUUUUAUUAGUCCUUAUACUUGGCAUUUAAGAUUAGGACAUAUUAACGAAGACAAGUUGUUAAGAAUGGGUAAUAUUGGUUUGUUGCCCAAUUUUGAAAAAGUAGAUUUUGGCAUAUGUGAACCUUGCAUUCUUGGUAAAAUGACUAAGAAACCUUUUAUAAAGAGUUGGAACACAAAAGAAUUGUUAGAAAUUGUUAACUCCGAUAUAUGUGGACCUUUGAGGGUUAUGACACAUCAAGGAAUGUGAUAUUUUAUCACCUUUAUGGAUGAUUUUUCAAGAUAUGGAUAUAUAUAUAUAUAUAUAUAUAUAUUUGCUUACACACAAGUCUGAAGCACUUGAAAAAUUCAAAUAGUUUAAGAAAGAAGUUGAGACCCAAUUAGGGAGACCUAUAAAGGGGCUUAACACGGAUAGAGGUGGUGAGUAUCAAUUUGAAGAUUUUUGCAAGGAAAAUGGGAUACGCCAUUUGCAUACCAUGCCAUACAACCCUCAACAAAAUGGAGUGGCAGAAAGAAGGAAUAGAACCCUUGUGGAUAUGACUAGAUCAAUGAUGGCCUAUGCAGAUUUACCUCUUCAUUUUUGGGGAGAGGCUUUGAGUACAGCCUGUUAUAUUCUUAUUAGAAUAUCGACAAAGGUGAGACAGUUUACGCCCUUUGAAUAUUGGACUGGGCACAAACCCGAUUUGUCCAAUCUGCGAGUUUGGGGAUGCAAAGCUCAUGUGUUAAAGCCUAAGCCUUUAAGACAUAAAUUGGGUGAUAGAAGUUAUGAAUGUAAAUUCAAAGGAUAUAUCGAGAAUGGAUCUGGGUAUUGCUUCUAUCAUAUGGAAAAAGGUAUAAUAGAAAGUAGAGAUGCUGUUUUCAUUGAGGAUGUGCAUCAAGUCACCCCUUUGGAAGAACUGAUAUUAUUAGAAGAACAUGAAACUUCAGUUUUACAACCAAGGGGUGUCAUUCCCAACAUUACACCUCUUGAGAAUCCAAGGGAAAGUGACGACAUUCCCAGCAUUACACCUCUUGAGAAUCCAAAGGAAAGUGACGAAAAUGUGAAUAGUGGGAGGAAGAGGAAAAGAGAGCCGCCACCCUUUUUCAAGGAUUAUUAUGCUCUUGUUUCCAAUUGCGUUGAGAAAAAGCAAGACCCACACAACUUCAAAGAAGCUAUUUUUUCAAAUGAAUCAGAUCAUUGGAAAAAUGCCAUGAUAGAAGAGUUGGGUUCAAUUAAGAAGAACAAAGUUUGGGAAUUGGUCGAAGUACCCCGAGGAAGAAAGCCUAUAGGGUGCAAAUGGAUUUUCAAGAAAAAGUAAAAAUCUGAUGGCACUCUUGACAAGUACAAGGCCAGGUUGGUGGCAAAGGGGUACACGCAAAAACCUGGUGUGGAUUAUGAGGAUACAUAUUCUCCCGUUGCUAAAUUUGUAUCCAUCCGAAUCAUAUUGGCUUUGGUUGCGAAGUUGAACCUUGAACUAUUCCAACUUGAUGUAAAAAUGGCUUUUCUAAAUGGAUAAUUAGAUUUAGAUAUUUACAUGGAGCAACCAGAAGGAUUCAAAGAAAAAGGUUAAGACGAUAAAGUUUGUAAGUUGAAUAAGUCUCUCUAUGGUCUCAAACAAUCCUCUAGACAAUGGUAUUUGACUUUCCACAAAGCUAUGCUAGAAAUUGGAUAUGAAGUCAACCCUAUGGAUCACUGUGUGUAUGUGUGGAAAAGUCAAGAUAGUUUAGUGAUACUAUCAUUGUAUGCGAAUGACAUACUUUUAGCAGGCAAUAAUCUGGAAAUAAUAGAGAGAACAAAGUCUUGUCUUAAUUUAAGGUUUGAAAUGAAAGACAUGGGAGAAGCAUCGUAUGUGCUUGGCAUUAAAAUAACGAGGGAUCGGAAAUCUAAGUUAUUGUAUUUAGACCAAGAAAAAUACUUAGGUGAAAUAUUGGAUAAGUUCCACAUGAAGAAUUGUAAGCCAAUAUUGACACCAACUUGUAAGGGUCCGAUCCUUGGGAAAUUUCAAUGUCCAAAAGAUGAAAAAGGAAUUAAGGAAAUGGAAAAUAUUCCUUAUGCUCAAGCUGUGAGCAACCUAAUGUAUGCUAUGACUAGUACCAGACCUGAUAUUUGCCAUGCUGUGGGAUUAGUUAGUCGGUACCAAGCAAAUCUAGGGAAAGAGCAGUGGCAGGCGGUGAAAAGAAUUUUUCGAUACAUUCAAGGUACUCGAAAAUUUAAACCGUGUUAACAUUUUUUUAUUCGGUGGUGGUGCGGUAUCAUGGUCUAGUAAAAAGCAAACUUGUGUUGCUAGGCACACCAUGGAAGCUGAAUAUGUUGCUUGUAGCUCGACAAGCACUAAAGUAGUUUGGAUUAAGCGCUUCAUUGAAAAUUUGAAAAUAAGUGAAUCAGUUGGGCCUGUAAAUGAGUUUUGCGAUAAUACGGCUGCAAUAUCACUAAUAAAGAAUGGUGCAAUGAGUUCAAAAGGCAAACACAUUGAUGUAAGCUACCAUUUUAUAUGGGACAUGGUAGAAAAGAGGGAUAUUAAAGAUGACUAUAUACCCUCUGAAAAUAUGACAGCUGAUCCCAUGACCAAAGGACUGUCAUUAGAAAGAUUUCAAGAGCAUGUUAAGAAUAUGGGAUUAAUUAACACCUAGGUGACUUAAGACAACAUGCUACGCGCUAUAGAUAUUGAAGGUUUUUGGGGACGCAUAAAAAAGGGUAAUGGUGGGUUAGUGUGCAGUCCCACAUAUCAUCGGAGUUAGAAAGGGUUGACGCUAUUGUGACCAAACUUAUAAGCAUAUCCUUUGGAAACAGGAUAUUGCUUUGUAUGUCUAAAUAUAAUCAAGUGGGAGAUGUUGGAUUAUGUGAUUAUUUUAGACAUAAUAAUGCUCGGGUUCAGGGUUCUGCUUGUUUCCUUGUUUCCUGUAGGAUUAGUUGCAAAGAUUACGAACAGUUGCAAUGGGUUGUUGAAAAUGUAACAUAUAGGAAGUGAUGCAAUGCUUGGCUAAAUAGGUGUCAUUUGGGAAGUGCUGCAAUGCUUGAUUAAAUAGGUGUCACUUAGAAACAACACACCUGCUGGGCAAAAUGUAUAAUGCUUCAUGAAGAGGUUUGUGGCCAAGUAUAAAUAAGCGGUGUUGCAGUAGAAGACACACACAUUUACUUGCCGCCAAAACAGAGCCCACUUCCUUAUUUUCCAUUUAUGCCUUAGAUCAACACAUUGAGUAUUUGUUUGUCUUCUUUGCUACUACAUCCUACGUGAUUCCCAGCCUUAUGGCGGUUCGGAUCGAUCGCGGUUCUUAAUUGGGACCAAUAGUUCUCCCCCACCAUCGAGGACCUCAACAUCAUCAUCCUUGUCGAAUCUCACUCCUUCCAGUUGUUCAUCAAGAGAAAGUUCUGCAAGCUGUGUCAUACGUACUUCAAUGUCAAAUUGGUCGCCACCUGAAAAACGUGAAGCAUAAAUUUCUUAAUGUAGUAAACACCACUAUCUUGCUACACUAACUACUGUGAAUCUGUGAUCUGUUAUACUACAAAUAAACUUAUGUACCAAAAUUUUGAAGGUCUUUCCUACUGUGAAUCUGUGAUCUGUUAUACUACAAAUAAACUUACUUAUGUCCCAAAACUUUGAAGGUCUUUCCAUAUACUCCUUGCUUUUUCUUGACAAUAAGCACAAAUUUGAAUGAACAAACACGAGAUCUUCAACUCUAGUCAUUGCUAGUCAGUUUCUUUUGGCGCUUUGAAUCAUGGAUAUGUACUCCAAUUCCUCUCGCAACAAGAGGAAGAAGCUGGGUGCGAAAGUAGUUUAAAUACCAAGGCUUGUAGUAGUGGUGUUGCAGCCCCAUGAUUGGCCCACCAUGAAAUGGGUUCCUCAUAUCUUCUUGAAUCAAUUACAUAAGCUUGUUCAAAAUAUCCAAAACCACUAGAAAGGCUUCAAAUUCCAAGUAAACUUGACUCAAAUCGUUAGCAUUAGGAAAUAACCGUUUAAAGCAUUAUGAUCUAUUUAAGGAGACCUCUUGAUCCUCAUGUGGUGAUACUCUGGGAAAUUCUUUACCACUUUCCAACCAAGCAUCAUAAUAGUAUUUUGGGACUAAUGAGUAAGCCAUACAAUUCAAAGGAGUAUUACUCUUGUUCCAUCUACUCUCCAAAAUUUGUUGAAUUGCAUCGAAAAACGGGUGAUGGCCAAGUGCGUCUUCUUGCUCAUUUUCAAAUAUGAUGUUUUUCACAUUCUCAAUCAUCUAAUCCCACUUGUCACAUAUUAGAUACAAAACAGGUGUGUCCGUGUCAGCUUUCCUUUACAAAUCAAUGAUCGGUUCGGUGAAUUUCAAAAGAUAUUCUAAGUUAUCCCAAAAUUUAUCAUCCUCAUCAACAAUGUAUAUUUUCACAUCAAGCUUUAUUUUAAGCCAUAGUGGUUCCAAGCCAAUACAUAUGAUGGGCGAAGGAAAGACCCCCAUUUCAUAGCGCCCGGGGAACGCAAGUUUGAUUGAGGAUUGGAGAGGAGAGGUAAAAGAAAAGGCUCGGGAUGGAUUUAGUAGUCUUUGUGCGAGCCGUAUGCGGUGAGAGUCACACGUACGAUAAUGAGGGGGGUUCGUGUCUAUACGUGUAGUGGUUGGGCCUACCCACCCUAUUUGUUCCAUGAUCUAUGGGUCUACUGGAGCUACCCACUUCGAUCAAUUAGCCAAGAUUUUAACCGGAUAUGAAAUCACAUGUGCUCGAUCUAGUGGUAUUUUUAUGGGGAUUCUAUCUAUCGCUGUAGGAUCCCUAUUCAAGAUCACUAUAGUUCCUUUUCGAGCAGUUGUAGGACGGACGACUGCCUAUAGGUGGUAGGGUAGGGUGGAUGGUACCGCUUAGACUGCAGCCAAUCUUCCUAACCGCGUGCGGGUGGGGCUUAAAGCGUGUGAAACUCAUCACUACCUCGUAAGAGCGCUACCUCGUAAGAGCGCUGAGACCAUAGCAUGUUACACGAAAGCGCCGUUUUCUCUGUAGUGUUGUCACACAGCUGCCCGCCU